CAGCCUGGGCAACAAGAGUGAAACUCCGUCUCAAAAAAAAAAAAAGUUUUGUGUUAUAUGGAUUCCAGUUCUCAGCUGAAAAAUCUCCACCUUUUCAUCUACUUUCUCCCUUGCUUCCUCCAUCUAAACAAAAACGCACAGAGUUCGAACUCUAAACAAAAACUCACAGAGAGUUCAGGGGUUCUCUGCUGCGACUUCCACUCUCUGGCUUUGUGUGCAUCCGUUUCCACGGGCUAUUUUUCCUCUUGAUUUUUGGCCCUGUGGUCUCUGAAUGCUGGAUGUCAUGCGCUGAAGCCUGGAGACUCCAGAUCCGGGAUGCUCUGUGGCUGCGUGUGCCCUACAGCAGCACGGUUCAGUAGGCAGAGGCCACUUCUACUACCCGGCUAAGGAAAAGAUGGGCAGAGCCUGCUCUGGAUGACGCUGUGUUCCAGCCGGCGGAGAGGGUCCCCCAUUUCCUCGGAACUAAUCCUCCAGGAAAUUAACAGACAGUUUGCUGUGGACAACUAGAGCCCUCCCCUUCCUUAGCCCUGAGCGAGGUAAACAAUUCUGCUCUGCCUUCCGGAAGUUUCAAAUUAGCUCUUCAACCAGCGUUUUCACGCAGCUUCCAGUCCUGCCACAGUCUUGAAGAAGAGAUCAGCUUUCGCGUCUUCAUUCUUGCCAAGAUUAGCUGCCCUUCGAAUCUCCCGUGUGUCAUUAAUCCCAGCACGAACAAGCACUUGGGAACUGCGGGCUGCAGAUGGUCUGCUUAUCCUACGGAACCCUCCUCUUUUGAGGCUUAACCCCUUUAGUCUUUGUUGCUUCUGUAGCUUUCUGAUGCCAUUAAAGAGAUGAUUUUUAUA
rnacentral:lncRNA from 1 species